GGCGAACCGGGGGAACUGAAACAUCUAAGUACCCCGAGGAAAAGAAAUCAACCGAGAUUCCCCCAGUAGCGGCGAGCGAACGGGGAGCAGCCCGGAGUCUGAAUCAGCUUGUGUGUUAGUGGAACGGUCUGGAAAGUCCGACGGUACAGGGUGAUAGUCCCGUACACGAAAACACACUUGCUGUGAACUCGAAGAGUAGGGCGGGACACGUGGUAUCCUGUCUGAAUAUGGGGGGACCAUCCUCCAAGGCUAAAUACUCCUGACUGACCGAUAGUGAACCAGUACCGUGAGGGAAAGGCGAAAAGAACCCCGGCGAGGGGAGUGAAAAAGAACCUGAAACCGUGUACGUACAAGCAGUGGGAGCACCUUCGGGUGUGACUGCGUACCUUUUGUAUAAUGGGUCAGCGACUUAUAUUCUGUAGCAAGGUUAACCGUAUAGGGGAGCCGAAGGGAAACCGAGUCUUAACUGGGCGUUAAGUUGCAGGGUAUAGACCCGAAACCCGGUGAUCUAGCCAUGGGCAGGUUGAAGGUUGGGUAACACUAACUGGAGGACCGAACCGACUAAUGUUGAAAAAUUAGCGGAUGACCUGUGGCUGGGGGUGAAAGGCCAAUCAAACCGGGAGAUAGCUGGUUCUCCCCGAAAGCUAUUUAGGUAGCGCCUCGUGAA
rnacentral:rRNA from 1 species